GAGUUUGAUCAUGGCUCAGGAUGAACGCUGGCGGUAUGCUUUACACAUGCAAGUCGUACGGGAGUUUUUAACUCAAGUGGCGGACGGGUGAGUAACACGUAAGAAUUUACCUUUAGGAGGGGGAUAACAACUGGAAACGGUUGCUAAUACCCCAUAUGCUUUCGAGUGAAAUGGAUUUUUCCGCCUAGAGAGAAGCUUGCGGCUGAUUAGCUUGUUGGUGAGGUAAUGGCUCACCAAGGCGACGAUCAGUAUCUGGUUUGAGAGGAUGAUCAGACACACUGGAACUGAGACACGGUCCAGACUCCUACGGGAGGCAGCAGUGGGGAAUUUUCCGCAAUGGGCGAAAGCCUGACGGAGCAAUACCGCGUGAGGGAUGACGGCCUAUGGGUUGUAAACCUCUUUUUUC
rnacentral:rRNA from 1 species